UGAACCUCAUGUCAAAGCUCUAGUAAUCAAAUUUCGCCAUCUUUGUCCACACAUACACUAACAAAAUGGCAAAGCCGAGAGAAAACAUAGAAAUAUUGCAGAAACCAGUCUCACUCUAGUAUGCCUCAACGUUUUUGGUGGGAAGAUUUUUAAACAGCUACUUUCCUCAUUAAUCACCUUGUUACACCAGUUUUAAACUACAAAAGUCCUAUCCAAAAAUUGUUUGGUCUCACGCCCAACUACAAAUUGUUAAAAACCUUUGGUUGUGCAUGCUACCCUUACCUUAGGCUAUACAAUUAAAAUAAACUUCAACUUAGAUCAGCAUAAAACAUAAAUGUAUUCAUUGGCUAUAGUUCGAGUCAUAAAGAGUAUCUUUGUCUCAAUACAUCUGGUCGAGUUUACAUUGCUAGUAGAGUCACCUUUGAUGAGUCUGACUUUCCCUUCAAAACUGGUUUCAAAUAUGACUCUUCUUGCAUAGAUAUUGCUCUUAAAUCCAGUUAGUAUCCCCAGUGGUUGCCUUACAAUCCAACACUGACCUCUGAACAUGCAAAUAGAGUUGUGAUUGACGGUGUAACUCAUUCCUCUCCUUCACUUCAUGAAGAAUCAGCUGCAAGUCAAAACGCACCACAAAAUUGUCAAACACCUCUAUCAGUAUCUCACCAAACUAGUCCAUGAACCUCAUCCUCAUCCACUACUACACCAUAUUCAUAUCAACCUACCAUUAUCUCUAAUCUCAUCAGCCUCCCAUCUUCGAAAUAGUGCAAAUACCUCACCAAAAAUAUAAUCUCCACCUAAGCCACCUCAACCUACUCAUCCCAUGAUCAUGAGAGCAAAAGCAAGUUUCUAUAAGCCAUAAUUUCUACACACCGUUUUUCCCUCACCUUUGGCUUUAAUGACUAAGCUUAAACCAGAAAGUGAUGUCGAAGCUCUAAAAAUCCUCACUGGAAGGCAGCAAUGGACACUAAAUACUUGGCUCUUAUGAAGGACAAUACAUGGUCACUUAUUCCACGGCUUGCUAACAUGAGUGUGGUUGACAACAAAUGGGUGUUUAGAGUGAAAAAGAAUCAAGAUGGUAUUGUCCAAUGCUAUAAGGCACGCCUUGUGGCGAAAUGUUUUCAGCAAAAACCUUGUGUGUUUCUUUGAAACAUUCAGUCUAGUUGUGAAAAAACUCUACUAUUAGAGUCAUUCUUGCUCUUGCCGCUGAAAAUCGAUGGGACAUUCAACAAGUCGACAUUGACAAUGCAUUUCUUAAUGGAAAUCUCUCUGAAACUACUUAUAUGUCUCAACCAAUCGAUUAUGUAAGCAACACUCAUCCCACAUGUGUUUGUAAGCUCAACAAAGCCUUAUAUGGUCUUCGCCAAGUACCUCGGGUGUGGUUUGAUCGAUUGAAACAGGUUCUGCUCUCUCUUGGCUUCCAAAAUUCUGUCUCAGACACCUCUUUGUUCUAUUAUAAGAAUGUCGAUGUUGAACUAUAUCUCCUAGUCUAUGUUGAUGACAUCCUCCUGACUAGCAAUCAUCAAAGCAAAGUAUCCAAUAUCAUCACUAACCCCAAACAAUUUUUCUCUCUAAAGAUGCUCGGGUCUAUGAAUUACUUUCUUGGUUUUGAAAUCACUCGGGGAGCAUAUGAUAUUCACUUGUCCCAAGCUAAAUACACAACUGAUUUUUUGUGCAAAACUAAUAUGUUUUCAUGUAAGCCAAGUCCAACUCCCAUCUCACAGGGAGAAAAACUAAGUAUUGAUGAAAACAAACCCUUUGAACAACCCACAUUCUUUCGCAGUGUCAUGGGGGGCUUACAAUAUCUCACACUCAGUCGACCGGACAUAGCUCUUAUAGUUAACAAACUGAGUCAAUUUAUGCAUAAUCCAAUUCAGCAUCACUGGACAGUAUGCAAAAGAUUACUCAUGUAUCUCAAAGGAACAAUUGAACAAAGCAUUGUGUUUAAACCUUCAAGCAGCUAGAUAAUGGAAUGCUUUAGCGAUGCGAAUUGGGCAGGCUCCAUCGAUGAUAGAAAGUCAACCACAUGAUACUAUGUGUACCUCGGUGGCAAUCUCAUUACCUGGUUCUCAAAGAAACAAAAGGUUGUUGUAAUGUCUCAAAUUCCCUAAUGUGGCUUAAUGCCUAAAUUAGGGGGUCGAGAGAUCCAUAAUUGAUUUAUUAUGCCAUUAUGUGAUUAAAUGCAUGAUUAUAUGAUUAUAUGAUGAUAAUUGCAUGCAUGUGAGUUCAUUUAUCAUUAGAAGGGAAUUUUUGUAAUUUGGCAUGUUGAGGGCAUAUAUGUAUAUUUAUGUGCAUGUUUAUGAUUUAUGGAUGAGACCACAUUAUAAUGUGGAUUUUUUCGAGCUGUUCGGCAUGAGACGAUCUUAGAAUGUAAAUUAGCAGUUUGGUCAUAAUGGGAUUAAGUACCGGGCUCGGGGUGAGUCUCAAGUGUAAUUUGAUGCUUAGUACAUUACCGGGAAUGAACGGGUAAUGGGAUAUGAUUUAAUUAUUAUUUGAGAAUAUUGGGAAUAACGGAAAUUGGAGGAUAUAAAUUAUAAUUAGUGGGAUUAGUGGGAAAUGACUGUUUUGCCCUUGGGUGGCUGUUUAAGGAACUAAAUGGGCUUAGGGGAAUUUUGGUAUUUUGACCAAGGGAUAUAUUUAAACUAGAAUGGCUGGUUGUAGAAGGAAUUAAGCAGCCAAAACAGAUUUCUUUUCCUUCUACCUCUCGAUCAUCUCUUCUUCUUCUUCGAGGCUUGGAAUUUUAAGGCAAGAUUGAGGAUUCAAGCAAGGGAAUCAAGGCUUGUGAGCUUAGAUUAUUGGUUCAGUCAUUGGAAGGGGUUCAAUUCAAGUCAGGGGUAAGAAUUCUAAGCUUCAUUUUCUAGUUUUGCUCUGUUUUGAGUUAGUUCUUGAGCUUGAGAGUUUUGAUCUUAAAAGUGGUUAUUUGGUGUGGUUUUAAAUGAUUCAAAGCUUGGGUUUUGUGGUUAAACUAGUGGAUAUGUUAUGUUCAUGAUUGGUUUUGAUUUUGGGAUGGUUUGAUGGAGGUUUGAUUGAGGUUUGAAUUGAGAAAAUGGGCAGGGGAGCUGGGUUCGCUGGGUCAAGUCGUGACCUAGUUCAUGCAAGUCGCGACUUAGACCCAAGUCAGAGCCUCCCUUGGGCUCUGUGAAGCAGGUGCGCCGCGACUUGCUAGGCCAAGUCGCGACCCGCCCCUGGUACCCCAGAUAGAUUGCUCUCUGUCUUGGGGGCACGUCGCGACUCACUAGGCCAAGUCAUGACCCACCCCUUCCUUUUGUGCCAGGGAGGAGUUUUCAAGGGCUUAGGCUCGGGGUUCCAUUUCCUAUGGCUCGGGAUCGAAUCAACUAGCCAUUUUAGUAUGAUUCGAGGCCCCGGGAGCGAGGUUUUAGAUUAUAAACCCUUUUAUUAUUUAUUUUUAUUGAUGAGAUUUCAUAUUGGUUAUGACUAGGUGACCGCUAAGGAACUUAAGGACUGAUCGUUCUCAAAGGUCGUUCUUCUACUAUUUCUCGUUCGAACCAAAGGUAAAGGGAAAGAAAAGCUCACCCAACCUUGAGUGGAGAGCUUAGGUGGCGAUGUGUACAUAUGUGGCUGCUUGACCACAACGGCUAAGGUGUUUCUCAGAAGAACUAAACCCUAUUUUUGCCGCUUAGGUCGGUGGGUUGUAAUUUUUACACUGUACUGACCAUUUUAUAUUGUAAAUAACUUUAUAAACACCUUUAUGGACCCAUGUACAGUUUUUUGUUUUAAAUAAAAUAUAUUCAUUCAUUUUGAUUGA